GGGGCGGGGCUCAGAGGUAGAGCGCUCGCCCAGCACACGAGGGGCACUGGGUUCCAUCCUCAGCACCACA
rnacentral:tRNA from 1 species